rnacentral:rRNA from 1 species
GACGAACGCUGGCGGCGUGCUUAACACAUGCAAGUCGAACGGGAUAAUUUGAGAGCUUGCUCUUAGAGAAUCUAGUGGCAAACGGGUGAGUAACACGUAGACAACCUGCCGACAGGAUGGGGACAACAUUCCGAAAGGAAUGCUAAUACCGAAUGAAGCGGAGGAGAGGCAUCUCUCCUCCGUGAAAGAUGGCCUCUGAAUAUGCUAUCACCUGUCGAUGGGUCUGCGUCUGAUUAGCUAGUUGGUGAGGUAACGGCUCACCAAGGCGACGAUCAGUAGCCGGUCGGAGAGGAUGAACGGCCACAUUGGGACUGAGACACGGCCCAGACUCCUACGGGAGGCAGCAGUGGGGAAUCUUCCGCAAUGGGCGCAAGCCUGACGGAGCAACGCCGCGUGAGUGAAGAAGGGCGUCGGAUCGUAAAGCUCUGUUGACGGGGACGAACGUGCGAAGGGUGAAUAAUCCUUUGUAAUGACGGUACCUGUCGAGGAAGCCACGGCUAACUACGUG